UCUCCUGUCAAUCAAUUUCGCGAGCAACAGUACAAUGCUGAUAAUCUGGCAUCGGAUGAGAUGUAUAUUUGGAUGUACCUCAAAACUUUUUUUUUUAAUUUCACAGUUCUAUAUGUAUCAACAGAAGAUAAUAUAUUUCCUCAUCAGCACGGGAAACAAGGGAAGUCGAAUUUGAAUAAUUAAACCAUAUUGGAUCAUGAACAAAAACAUUAUCAGUACAGCUGACAUAGAGAACUUCUGCUGCCAUCACACAAACUGACUUUUGGAAAUGGAAAACACUGUCAUUUGCAGGAUGUGCCCAACAGGCCAGAUUGGAUGAAACGAACAAAGAAAAACUGAGCCAGAAAAAUGACAGGCGGAAAUAGCCAGUUGUAACACAGAGAAGAAAGGGUGAUAUUAAGUCAGGCGGUAGUUGUGAAGAAAUGCAGAGAGGCUUCAAGGAGAUAUCUGUCAUGAAGUGUGGAGGAGGUUUGACCCAAACACACAGCAGUGGAAUCUUCUCAGCGGUGAGUGAUCACUUAAAUAAUAAACUGCAAAAUAACAAGCCACAAGGGGCCGGGAAACAAGAGAGAACAGAUACUUAACAUAAUAAGGCAAAAGGUAACUGAAGGCUAGGAGCAAUGUCAAUAAGACCAAGGAAUUGAUAGUAGACAUCAGGAGAGGGAACCCCAAGGUCCAUGAGCCAGUAAUCGUGCAAGGUGGAGAGGCUCAGUAACUUUAAAUUCCUGGGUGUCAGUAUUUAAGAGGUACAAAAAAGGUGGAUGAACUCAGCAGGUUGGGCAGCAUCUGUUGAAAGAAGCAGUCAACGUUUCAGGUCGAGA